rnacentral:rRNA from 1 species
GAACGUUGGCGGCGUGCCUAACACAUGCAAGUCGUGGGGCAGCAGGCUACUACCUUCGGGUAGUAGUGCUGGCGACCGGCAAACGGGUGAGUAACACGUAGCUUACCUACCCAUAGGUUGGGGAUAACAUCCCGAAAGGGGUGCUAAUACCCAAUAAUGAGGAGACUCCAAAGCCCUUAUGGGUGCCUAUGGAUGGGGCUGCGUCCCAUCAGCUAGUUGGUGAGGUAAUGGCUCACCAAGGCUACGACGGGUAACCGGUCUGAGAGGAUGACCGGUCACAGUGGGACUGAGACACGGCCCGCACCCCUACGGGGGGCAGCAGUGGGGAAUAUUGGGCAAUGGCCGAAAGGCUGACCCAGCAACGCCGCGUGGUGGAUGAAGCCCUUCGGGGUGUAAACACCUUUUCUGGGGGAAGAUAAUGACGGUACCCCAGGAAUAAGGGACGGCUAACUACGUGCCAGCAGCCGCGGUAAUACGUAG